UACGUAGGCAGCAAACGUUGUUCGGAAUUACUGGGCGUAAAGAGUGUGUAGGCGGCUUUGCAAGUUUGGUGUGAAAUCUCCCGGCUCAACCGGGGAGGGUGCGCCGAAUACUGAGUGGCUAGAGUGCGGGAGAGGAAAGUGGAAUUCCUGGUGUAGCGGUGAAAUGCGUAGAUAUCAGGAGGAACACCUGUGGCGAAAGCGGCUCACUGGACCACAACUGACGCUGAGGCGCGAAGGCCAGGGGAGCAAACGGG
rnacentral:rRNA from 1 species